UCAGUCGACUCCUACGGGGAGGCAGCAGUGGGGGAAUAUUGCACAAUGGGCGCAAGCCUGAUGCAGCCAUGCCGCGUGUGUGAAGAAGGCCUUCGGGUUGUAAAGCACUUUCAGUCGUGAGGAAGGUAGUGUAGUUAAUAGCUGCAUUAUUUGACGUUAGCGACAGAAGAAGUACCGGCUAACUCCGUGCCAGCAGCCGCGGUAAUACGGAGGGUGCGAGCGUUAAUCGGAAUUACUGGGCGUAAAGCGCAUGCAGGUGGUUUGUUAAGUUCAGAUGUGAAAGCCCGGGGCGUCAACCUCGGAAUAGCAUUUGUAAACUAGGCAGACUAGAGUACUGUAGAGGGGGGUAGGAAUUUCAGGUGUAGCGGUGAAAUAGCGUAGAGAUCUGAAGGAAUACCGGUGGCGAAGGCGGCCCCCUCGGACAGAUACUGACACUCAGAUGCGAAAGCGUGGGGAGCAAACAGGAUUAGAUACCCUGGUAG
rnacentral:rRNA from 1 species